GUGGUGGCAACAGACGAGGCAGCCGUGGCGGUAGAGGCCGAGGCAGAGGUGCUGGCAGGAGUUCCAAGCAGCAACUUUCUGCAGAAGAAUUGGAUGCACAGUUGGAUGCUUAUAAUGCCAGGAUGGAUACCAGUUAAACCAGUUGGCGCAUUUUGUGCAUGGAAAGGACUGCAGACAUCUCAUUCCAUGCUCCCCAGGGGGAGGGAAGGGGUGUAUGGCGGUGGCUACUAAUAUCAAGGAUGGGAUUUGUUUUACUUUUAUGUUUUGGAAUAGGUUUUAAACUCAUGUAAAGGUUUCUUUCUUUUUUUUAAAUUCUGAAACAGAUCUGUUUUGUACUGAGUUAUUUUUGGGAAAAAUUUUACUGGUUGCCUGUUGGGCCAUGGUGGCUUUUUCACCUUGGCAGUAAUAAAAUAGAAACGUGUCUAGA